AUAGGCCUUGCGUAGAGUGGUGCAGUAUUCUAGUCGGCCUACCAAUGCUGAAGGCGGGCCUAAAAAUUCGCUAAAGGGCACAUCGAUGAAGUUCCUGGUGUUGGCUUUCGACGCCCAGUCGGGGGCUGAUGCUGGGAGUUAAGGUUGUGGGGCGAUCCACAAUGGCAUGUGGGCGUUGACCCCGCUUCCGCGGAGGCCCAAGUGCGUGGUAUGACGCCCUCGAGCGUCGCAUUACGGCUUGGGGUAUGAACCUACAUUACGAGUCGCACAUUGCAAUUCUUCAUUCUAUUAUGAAGCGUGAUGUACGUACCCGGCUUGUUUGUAGCGUAGCCUGCCUUGAGUGAGUCUGCGGGGAUUGCGGAUGUGUAGAUUCGGUGGACUUCGGCCAAAGAACGCAUGAAUCGUAUGCCGUAUGAAAUCUGGUUUGCAAAAGAGGCUAGGGGUUGGUUCAGGGCUGCUCGAGGAAAACUCCUAGACUGUUCACUUGCGUGAAGCUUCUUAAGGAUUAUAGUGUGGACUAAGUGGUAAUUCAGUCUGGCGAUUGGUGACAACGUCAAGGCGCUCUUAAUUGGAAACGGCCUGCUCGGCGACGAGGAGGCGAGCACCUGGGAAAACCUACUGGACCUAAGCCACAGCGUUUACUUGAGAAGUUGCCACUCUCAACUUUACGUAA
rnacentral:sRNA from 1 species